rnacentral:lncRNA from 1 species
AGGAAAAAAACAGCAGAAUCUAUUUUUCAUUGUGGGAGAGCCCAGGUUGUCCUGCUUAUCUGAAAUUAAGCCCAAAUCCUAAAAUUUCUGAAUACCUGCUGUCAGCUUCCUGCAAACGGGCCAGGUUGCCUAAGGAAUGUCAUGAGAGAGCUGGCAGAGGCAGGGGACAGGACAGGCACCAGCAAACACCACUUCACCAUGCAGCUAUUUUCAUGUCCUCCCAGCCCACUGAAGUGCUGAUAAUGGCUUGGAUCAAUUCAACAAACACAUUUCGUAUACCUCCUUUGCACCAGACAGUGUUCACCGAGGCACGCAGGGUGGCCGCAGGUUUAAACUUACACGAAUCGCUUUCUGGAGGAGGAGGGGACCCGCUGCGCGAUUGACACGCAUAUUCCUAUAGGCAUCCUCCCUCAGCCCCCACCCCCACGGCCGGAUUCGGGUGGCUCCUCUCCGAGGUGAAAUCUGAGAAGAAAUCCUUGGAUCUCUUUUCUUAAAAAAAAAAAAAAAAAAAAAAAAU